rnacentral:rRNA from 1 species
CUGGCGGUGCGCCUUAUGCAUGCAAGUUGAGCGAAGCUUUUUGGUAGUUUACUACUAGAAAUGACUAAGCGGCGAACGGGUGAGUAACGCGUGAGCAAUCUACCUUAGUUACUGGGAUAGCCCGAGGAAACUCGGAUUAAUACCGGAUAUUCUUAUUUUUUCACAUGAAGUUUUAAGGAAAGGUCAGCCGAACUAAGAUGAGCUCGCGUUCUAUCAGCUAGUUGGUGGGGUAAAAGCCUACCAAGGCUACGACGGAUAGCUGGUCUGAGAGGACGAUCAGCCACACUGGGACUGAGACACGGCCCAGACUCCUACGGGAGGCUGCAGCAGGGAAUAUUGUGCAAUGAGCGAAAGCUUGACACAGCGACACCGCGUGUGGGAUGACGGUUCUAGGAUUGUAAACCACUUUCAGGAGGGAAGAAAAUGACGGUACCUCCACAAGAAGACCCGGCCAACUAUGUGCCAGCAGCCGCGGUAAUACAUAGGGGUCAAGCGUUGUCCGGAUUUAUUGGGCGUAAAGAGCUCGUAGGCGGUUCAACAAGUCGGUCGUAAAAGUUUAGGGCUCAACCCUAAAAUGUCGAUCGAUACUGUUGUGACUAGGAUACGGUAGAGGUGAAUGGAAUUCCGAGUGUAGCGGUGAAAUGCGUAGAUAUUCGGAGGAACACCAAUUGCGAAGGCAGUUCACUGGACCGUGAUCGACGCUGAGGAGCGAAAGCUAGGGGAGCAAACAGGAUUAGAUACCCUGGUAGUCCUAGCUGUAAACGAUGGAUACUAGAUGUAGGAACUGGAUUGACGGUUUCUGUAUCGUAGCUAACGCGUUAAGUAUCCCGCCUGGGGAGUACGGUCGCAAGACUAAAACUCAAAGGAAUUGAC